GAUGAACGCUGGCGGCGUGCCUAAUACAUGCAAGUCGAGCGAACGGACGAGAAGCUUGCUUCCCUGAUGUUAGCGGCGGACGGGUGAGUAACACGUGGAUAACCUACCUAUAAGACUGGGAUAACUUCGGGAAACCGGAGCUAAUUCCGGAUAAUAUUUUGAACCGCAUGGUUCAAAAGUGAAAGACGGUCUUGCUGUCACUUAUAGAUGGAUCCGCGCUGCAUUAGCUAGUUGGUAAGGUAACGGCUUACCAAGGCAACGAUGCAUAGCCGACCUGAGAGGGUGAUCGGCCACACUGGAACUGAGACACGGUCCAGACUCCUACGGGAGGCAGCAGUAGGGAAUCUUCCGCAAUGGGCGAAAGCCUGACGGAGCAACGCCGCGUGAGUGAUGAAGGUCUUCGGAUCGUAAAACUCUGUUAUUAGGGAAGAACAUAUGUGUAAGUAACUGUGCACAUCUUGACGGUACCUAAUCAGAAAGCCACGGCUAACUACGUG
rnacentral:rRNA from 1 species